rnacentral:rRNA from 1 species
AGAGUUCUCUUUUCUUUGUGAAGGGCAGGGCGCCCUGGAAUGGGUUCGCCCCGAGAUAGGGGCCCGUGCCCUGGAAAGCGUCGCGGUUCCGGCGGCGUCCGGUGAGCUUUCGCUGGCCCUUGAAAAUCCGGGUGAGAAGGUGUAAAUCUCGCGCCAGGCCGUACCCAUAUCCGCAGCAGGUCUCCAAGGUGAACAGCCUCUGGCAUGAUGGAACAA